GGCUUAGUGGUCUAGCGGUAUGAUUCCUGCUUUGGGUGCAGGGGGUCCCGGGUUCAAGUCCCGGCUGAGCCC
rnacentral:tRNA from 1 species